AAAACAACUCUCGGCAACGGAUAUCUCGGCUCNCGCAUCGAUAA
rnacentral:rRNA from 1 species